AGUGAACGCUGGCGGUAGGCCUAACACAUGCAAGUCGAACGGCAGCACAGUAAGAGCUUGCUCUUACGGGUGGCGAGUGUCGGACGGGUGCGUUAUACAUCGGAAUCUACUUUUUCGUGGGGGAUAACGUAGGGAAACUUACGCUAAUACCGCAUACGACCUACGGGUGAAAGCAGGGGAUCUUCUGACCUUGCGCGAUUGAAUGAGCCGAUGUCGGAUUAGCUAGUUGGCGGGGUAAAGGCCCACCAAGGCGACGAUCCGUAGCUGGUCUGAGAGGAUGAUCAGACACACGGGAAGUGAGACAGGGUACAGACUCCUACGGGAGGCAGCAGUGGGGAAUAUUGGACAAUGGGCGAAAGCCUGAUCCAGCAAUACCGCGUGGGUGAAGAAGGCGUUAGGGUUGUAAAGCCCUUUUGUUGGGAAAGAAAAGCAGCAGGUUAAUACCCCGCUGUUCUGACGGUACCGAAAGAAUAAGCACCGGCUAACUUCGUG
rnacentral:rRNA from 1 species